AUUGAACGCUGGCGGCAUGCCUUACACAUGCAAGUCGAACGGUAACGCGGGGCAACCUGGCGACGAGUGGCGAACGGGUGAGUAAUGCAUCGGAACGUGCCCAGUAGUGGGGGAUAGCCCGGCGAAAGCCGGAUUAAUACCGCAUACGACCUACGGGUGAAAGGGGGGGAGCGCAAGACCUCUCGCUAUUGGAGCGGCCGAUGUCAGAUUAGGUAGUUGGUGGGGUAAAGGCCCACCAAGCCUUCGAUCUGGAGCUGGUCUGAGAGGACGACCAGCCACACUGGGACUGAGACACGGCCCAGACUCCUACGGGAGGCAACAGUGGGGAAUUUUGGACAAUGGGCGCAAGCCUGAUCCAGCCAUGCCGCGUGCGGGAAGAAGGCCUUCGGGUUGUAAACCGCUUUUGUCAGGGAAGAAACGCUCUGGGCUAAUACCUCGGGGUAAUGACGGUACCUGAAGAAUAAGCACCGGCUAACUACGUGCCAGCAGCCGCCGUAA
rnacentral:rRNA from 1 species